rnacentral:rRNA from 1 species
CUACGGGUUGCAGCAGUGGGGAAUUUUGGACAAUGGGCGCAAGCCUGAUCCAGCCAUUCCGCGUGAGUGAAGAAGGCCUUCGGGUUGUAAAGCUCUUUCGCAAGGGAAGAAAACUUAUCCUCUAACAUAGGGUGAGGUUGACGGUACCUUGAUAAGAAGCACCGGCUAACUACGUGCCAGCAGCCGCGGUAAUACGUAGGGUGCGAGCGUUAAUCGGAAUUACUGGGCGUAAAGCGUGCGCAGGCUGUUUUGUAAGUCAGAUGUGAAAUCCCCGAGCUCAACUUGGGAACUGCGUUUGAAACUACAAGACUAGAAUAUGUCAGAGGGGGGUAGAAUUCCAUGUGUAGCAGUGAAAUGCGUAGAGAUGUGGAGGAAUACCAAUGGCGAAGGCAGCCCCCUGGGAUAAUAUUGACGCUCAUGCACGAAAGCGUGGGGAGCAAACAGGAUUAGAUACCCGAGUAGUC